UGCCAGCCGCCGCGGUAAUACGGAGGGUGCAAGCGUUAAUCGGAAUUACUGGGCGUAAAGCGCACGUAGGUGGCUUGGUAAGUCGGAUGUGAGAGCCCUGGGCUCAACCUGGGAAUUGCAUUCGAUACUGCUUAGCUAGAGUAUGAGAGAGGGUAGUGGAAUUCCGGGUGUAGCGGUGAAAUGCGUAGAUAUCGGAAGGAACACCAGUGGCGAAGGCGACUUCCUGGCCCAAAACUGACGCUGAGGUGCGAAAGCGUGGGUAGCGAACAGGAUUAGAUA
rnacentral:rRNA from 1 species